AGACAAAAGCGAACGAGAGGCGGAAAAAAGGAAGACGCUUCCUGAAGUUGGGGGUAUGAGACAGAAGUUGGGGGUAUGAGACAGAAGUUGGGGGAGAGUGGGUUUCCAAUCCGAGUAAAAGGCAGUGUGGUGGAAGUUAACAAGAGAAAAUGUUGAGACGAGGUAGAGCAGGCAGGAAUAAACGAAGUAAGGUGUUUUUAUUAGGAGUGAAGGAGAGAGACGAGUGCUGUUGUGUGAAACGUAGGUGCGGGUAGUUGAAUCCCUAGUUUUCUGCAGCAGAAGCCGAAAAUAACGCUAAAAAUAAGUUCAGUUGCCCGGGACAGAGUUGCGCACGUUAUAACCACACGGUGUACGCCUCUUAAGAACUCAGCAGUGAAAUACACUUUCGUAUGUUCUGCUUUUGUCUCUAAAAGUGUUCCAAAAUGGAGGUGUUUUUACUUUUUAAAGAAACUAAAUGCAAAUAGGCAAAGGUGUGUGACCAUCCCUUAGAAAACGAAUGUCCACGCUUCUGCCACGCCAGGAUGGUCUACCUUUCUUCAGGGUGAAAUUAGUAAGUAAAAGGCUGCUGCAGCACCGAGAAAGGACCGAUGCAGGAAGGAUGCAGGAAGGCACCAAACUUGGUUCUAAUCUUGGCUCUGCUAACAAAUUGGUGUCAUUGCACAGGUCACUUCAAUUCUUCUGGGCCUCAGUUUCGUUAGAUAGUCCCAUAGGUAUCAUUUCAGAUAUUUCCCAAUGCGAUACUGUUCCCACUUCAUUUACUGUUGCCCUAACUUGAGAGAGCUUGAAGUUAGAAAGAGAUUUAUACACAAAACACCAGCAGGAGCGAUUUCCCUUUUUUGCAAAAUAUCUUUAUAAUUUCAGUUAAACAUGUAUUUUCUUAAGAUUUGUGGCUUUGUAAUAACUCUUGCAAUGUCAGCAGUUUUCCUCGGAAAAGGAAGCAUUUCUUAAUUAGAGCAUACCCACAAGAUACUCCCAAAUAGUUAAUAUUUUAUAUUCUGGAACUUAUUCCUAUCUGUUUGAAAUCAAAUGUAGUCAGGAAUUAGAUUGUGAAUGUCUCAUAUUCUCAGGGUAACAAAUGAAAGUGUCUUCCGCUAAUGAAAGAACAAAGAUAAUUGUGUGAUUUGCAAAUGUUAGGUGUUGAACCAAAACCCAAAGACUAAUUAAUGAUUAACGAGGUGUUAGGAGUUUUGUUAAAAAAAGAAAUUGCUGGGCAUGUUGGUGGGUUCCUGUAACCCCAGCUACUCUGGAGGGUGAGGCAGGAGAAUUGCUUCAACCCGGGAGGCGGAGGUUACAGUGAGCUGAGAUCACGCCAUUCCACUCCAGCCUGGGCGACAAAAGCGAAACUCCAUUUCAAAAACAAACAAACAAAAAAACCUCUGUGUGAUCUUAUAAAAAUGAGGCCGGGUGCAGUUGCUAACAUCUGUAAUCCCAGCACUUUGGGAGGCCAAAGCGGGUGGAUCACAAGGUCAAGAGAUCAACACCAUCCUGGCCAACGUGGUGAAACCCCCUCUCUACUAAAAUACAAAGAUUAGCCAGCAUGGUGGCGGGCACCUGUAGUCCCAUAUACCAGGGAGGCAGAGGCAGGAGAACCACUAGAACCUGGGAGGUGAAGUUUGCGGUGAGCGAAGAUUGUGCCACUGCAUUCCAGCCUGGGCGACAGAGCGAUACUCCAUCUCAAAAAAAAAAAAAAAAAAUGAAUACUCCCUAUGGCUUUUCAUCCCUUAGAGUGUGCUUUUGUAAGUCUAUUGCCCUGUGUAGUUGUCAUUAAAUUAAUAUGCCAGAUAAAUAACAGAUGAACAGUGUUUAUGGAGCAUCACAAAAUCUCUUUGGCUGGAAACUUUUUUACAUGUGUCUUAAAAUCGCUAUAUUUUCUGUAGUCUGUAAGGAUCACAGAUGUAGCGAGAAAACCUAUGGAUAAAUAAAAGUCGGUUUACUAAGACAAAAUGAAUUACAUCUGGAUGCAAACAUUACAUAUGUGAUUUAUCUAUAUUAGCCAUGUACCCUUGGGAGUACAUGAAUGUAGAAACCUUAGCAUCUCAUAAAGAAGAAUUACAUUAAAGCUCCAAUAAGGGAAAACUGAUACACAUAAACAUCUGACUACUAAAAAAUUAAGAGUUAACAGUGAAACUUGCCCCUUAAGUCGAAACCUCUCAAAGUAAUGCUCAUUUAAAUGACAUUAUAUCACUGAUAAAGUAUCAACCAAAGUAUGCUUGUAAUAGAUAAUUUUAUUCCAUUACUUCUGAAUCUAAAUCUUGAGCAGAAAACCUUAACCUAAAGGAUCAGACUUCUAGUAGAAUCCUAGGAAACUGAAUUUGCGCUUCUCUGAAUAGUUUAUGGAAAACUAUCACAAUAGCAGUUUUUUAAAAUAAAAUAAUAUUUUUAACCUUAUGUGAUGAGAACUUUUAUUUCCUUUUACGCGUUUAUGCUUUACUUCCCUACAAGUUGCAAAGGUGUUAACCAAUCAGUAAUAUAUAUUGAAUAGAUCUAACUAGAGUUCUCCUAGGCAGAAAAGGACAUAAGUAGAUCAUGCGUCUCUACUUACAAGGAAAUUCCUGAAUAGUUACAGACCUUUACUUAUAAAAAUGAAAUAAUUAUUGCAUGAAAAAAAUGAAUAUUCCAAAUUACAAAUAAAGGUAAUUGAUAGUCUUCAUUUAACACUAUAAAUUACAAAGUGCUUUACUUACUUUUUUCAUUUAGGGUAAUAAAGACAGGUAGAUUUAACUCCAUUACUUAAGGGAUGGAAAAGAUCAAAUAUAAGUGAUUUGUUAAUUGAGAAGCAGUUUAGGAUCAUUAUUAAGAACACUGACUCAUGAACUGCCUGAAUUUUUAUUUGUUUGACUUUGAGCAUACUUAACCUUCUGUGCCUGUUUCCCCAUCUGUAAAAUGAGGAAAACUACACAAAACUACAUCUAAUUGUUGAGGAACUAAAAGUAAUACUUGAAGAGCCUGAUAUAUAAUGAGUACUCAUUGUUAUUCAAGGACAUAGACUAUACCAUAAAUAACCUUUUUUUUUUUUUUAAAGUCCCAAAGCUUAUUCCAAUACGGUGUUUUGUUCAUGGCCAUUUUUUAUGAUUGGAUAGAUUCAGCUGUGCACAUUUUAAGUGCUUAAGGAAGGGAAAGAUGGAUAUGAGUUCAAAUCUUGGGAGGUUUUACAAAACAGGUAAGACUUAAAUCAGUGCUUGAGAAGAAGUGCAAAUACACUUUAGGAAAAUGACCUGACAUUAAUUUUUUUUUUUUUUUUU
rnacentral:lncRNA from 1 species